rnacentral:rRNA from 1 species
CCUUACGGCUCAGUAACACGUGGAUAACCUGCCCUUGGGUCCGGCAUAACCCCGGGAAACUGGGGAUAAUUCCGGAUAACGCAUAUAUGCUGGAAUGCUUUAUGCGUCAAAUGGAUUCGUCUGCCCAAGGAUGGGUCUGCGGCCUAUCAGGUAGUAGUGGGUGUAAUGUACCUACUAGCCAACAACGGGUACGGGUUGUGAGAGCAGGAGCCCGGAGAUGGAUUCUGAGACAUGAAUCCAGGCCCUACGGGGCGCAGCAGGCGCGAAAACUUUACAAUGCGGGAAACCGUGAUAAGGGGACACCGAGUGCUAGCAUCAUAUGCUGGCUGUCCAGGUGUGUAAACUACACCUGUUAGCAAGGGCCGGGCAAGACCGGUGCCAGCCGCCGCGGUAACACCGGCGGCCCGAGUGGUGAUCGUGAUUAUUGGGUCUAAAGGGUCCGUAGCCGGUUUGGUCAGUCCUCCGGGAAAUCUGAUAGCUUAACUAUUAGGCUUUCGGGGGAUACUGCCAGACUUGGAACCGGGAGAGGUAAGAGGUACUACAGGGGUAGGAGUGAAAUCUUGUAAUCCCUGUGGGACCACCUGUGGCGAAGGCGUCUUACCAGAACGGGUUCGACGGUGAGGGACGAAAGCUGGGGGCACGAACCGGAUUAGAUACCCGGGUAGUCCCAGCCGUAAACGAUGCUCGCUAGGUGUCAGACAUGGCGCGACCGUGUCUGGUGCCGCAGGGAAGCCGUGAAGCGAGCCACCUGGGAAGUACGGCCGCAAGGCUGAAACUUAAAGGAAUUGGCGGGGGAGCAC